AUGGGAGUGAUGAAAAAAGCAAACGGAUUUCCAUUUAUCAUUCUCCGUAAGAAUGAUAAAAAAUCACCAGCUACUUCUAACCCCA